rnacentral:rRNA from 1 species
AAAUUGAAGAGUUUGAUCAUGGCUCAGAUUGAACGCUGGCGGCAGGCCUAACACAUGCAAGUCGAACGGUAACAGGAAACAGCUUGCUGUUUCGCUGACGAGUGGCGGACGGGUGAGUAAUGUCUGGGAAACUGCCUGAUGGAGGGGGAUAACUACUGGAAACGGUAGCUAAUACCGCAUAACGUCGCAAGACCAAAGAGGGGGACCYUCGGGCCUCUUGCCAUCGGAUGUGCCCAGAUGGGAUUAGCUWGUWGGUGGGGUAACGGCUCACCWAGGCGACGAUCCCUAGCUGGUCUGAGAGGAUGACCAGCCACACUGGAACUGAGACACGGUCCAGACUCCUACGGGAGGCAGCAGUGGGGAAUAUUGCACAAUGGGCGCAAGCCUGAUGCAGCCAUGCCGCGUGUAUGAAGAAGGCCUUCGGGUUGUAAAGUACUUUCAGCGGGGAGGAAGGGAGUAAAGUUAAUACCUUUGCUCAUUGACGUUACCCGCAGAAGAAGCACCGGCUAACUCCGUGCCAGC